rnacentral:rRNA from 1 species
GACAGAGGAUGCAAGCGUUAUCCGGAAUGAUUGGGCGUAAAGCGUCUGUAGGUGGCUUUUAAGUCCGCCGUCAAAUCCCAGGGCUCAACCCUGGACAGGCGGUGGAAACUACCAAGCUGGAGUACGGUAGGGGCAGAGGGAAUUUCCGGUGGAGCGGUGAAAUGCGUAGAGAUCGGAAAGACACCAACGGCGAAAGCACUCUGCUGGCCGACACUGACACUGGAGAGCAGAAAGCUAGGGGAGCGAAUGGG